CAGUAGCCGCGGUAACACGGAGGGAGCUAGCGUUGUUCGGAAUUACUGGGCGUAAAGCGCGCGUAGGCGGUUACUCAAGUCAGAGGUGAAAGCCCGGGGCUCAACCCCGGAACUGCCUUUGAAACUAGGUGACUAGAAUCUUGGAGAGGUCAGUGGAAUUCCGAGUGUAGAGGUGAAAUUCGUAGAUAUUCGGAAGAACACCAGUGGCGAAGGCGACUGACUGGACAAGUAUUGACGCUGAGGUGCGAAAGCGUGGGGAGCAAACAGGAUUAGAUACCCCCGUAGUCCCUGUCUCUUAUAA
rnacentral:rRNA from 1 species